rnacentral:lncRNA from 1 species
GUCUGGUUCUGGCAGGGGCAGGGAGGACGCAAUGGAGACAAGGAUCAGGUCUGUAAGAAGUCUAGAGGGCGGCAGGCCAGCAAAUAACCACCUUGGGUGAGAACAGAAGACAGAGAACACGGAAAAGGAAAAAGCAAGGGACAAAAUCAAAGGGACAUCCAAGCUGGGGGUGACAAGUACUCUUUUCCAACUAGAAAACCAAAGGCUUCAAUAAGGUAGGACUAGAAGAGAUGAAGCUGAGUGAGUUCUGGGCACUGCUCAGACGGCCCUGUUUCCUAGAGCCCUUCCUGAGCCCGACCCACAGAUUCAUUUGACCUAAGCAUUUCUCACACCCUGCAAAUGGAGCUCAGCCCAAAACUGCAUGAGCUUGUAGCACAUCCCGAUUUUCUGCCUCGGUUUCUGGUUAACUCUAUGUGGCUUUUCUUGACCUUUCAUUUGUAUGUACAGCAUCUCUCGAGAGCUGAGAGAUACUCUAAGCCCUUCCUGGACUCCAUCAUGGCCCAUGCUCAUGGCUGGCACCAGCAAAGAAGCUCAACCGACUUCUUUAUCGACAGAUAUUUAGUGAAGGGAUCCAGACUCCAGACUCGGCAGCUGCAAGGAGUCUUUCAGGAGUUCAGAACAACUUGCAAAUAUGGGGCACGCCAAUCAAUGCUUUCUAGCAAAUGUCAAGACUUACAGCGAGUGGGCUCACUUAAAUUGUCCAAAAUGAUAAAGACCCAAGAGGCUAUAUUGCUAUGACGAGUUAGGGUUAAAAACAUUCUUAAUGGAUGAGAAAAUUCUGUCUUGUUGCUGCUUUUGCUUGGUACUAGUGACACAGCCAAGUGCAUUUCUGUAAACUCAUGGGAGAAUCGUGGGGCUGGGCAUCUAACUCAGUGGU